rnacentral:rRNA from 1 species
GACGAACGCUGGCGGCGUGCUUAACACAUGCAAGUCGAACGGAAAGGCCCUGCUUUUGUGGGGUGCUCGGGUGGCGACCGGGUGAGUAACACGUUGGUACCCUGCCCUUGACUUUGGGUUAACUUCAGGAAACUUGGGCUCAUACCGGAUAGGAGCUCCUGCUGCAUGGUGGGGGUUGGAAAGUUUCGGCGGUUGGGGAUGGACUCGCGGCUUAUCAGCUUGUUGGUGGGGUAGUGGAUUACCAAGGCUUUGACGGGUAGCCGGCCUGAGCGGGUGACCGGCCACAUUGGGACUGAGAUACGGCCCAGACUCCUACGGGAGGCAGCAGAGGGGAAUAUUGCACAAUGGGCGGAAGCCUGAUGCAGCAACGCCGCGUGGGGGAUGACGGCCUUCGGGUUGUAAACCGCUUUCGUCUGUGACGAAGCGUGAGUGACGGUAAUGGGUAAAGAAGCACCGGCUAACUACGUG